ensembl:lncRNA
CGGGAGGGAGGCGCUGGGGCCGCCCCGUUUCCGUCCCUCCGGGCCGUGACGCGCAGCGCGGUUUGGAGGCAGAGCCGUGGCGCUGGGUGCGGGGCGCUGCCCCGUCGUAUCACCUCUGCGCACCUCUGUGGGUGCCCUCCUUCAGGGGGUCUGCAACAGGUGAAGUAUGGUAAAUUAGGGACCUUCACGGUGCUGUUUUAAAGCGAGUGUAAGUUCUCUGAUUGUCUUCACAAUUGUUGUGUCUGGAUUUUUUUGGUUUGUAGCAACAUUGUCCCGAGCUUCACAGUUGUGUGUAUGUUGUGUACCCAGAGUGAAUGAGCCGGUGCCAUUGGUGAGAAACUUGCUGCUGCUUACACGUUGUUGUGCUGUGAUAGCCAGCAGAAAACAGCAACAAAUUGCAGAGCUCCUCUUACUGCACAGAAUAAAGAGCAUUGUACUGCCUCUGUCAGCUUAGCAUCCCCGUAGAAAGUCAGACAUGUCCAGGGUUAUACUCAUGGGUCAGUGAAAGAUGCAAUGUGAUUGCCCAGGAUGGGUGGAUUUACCAAUGUUAAAAGCAUCAGCAGAGCUUUAAUGAACACAGAGCAUUUCUUGUUUUUGCCUAAUGCCUUGUCUGAGAGAUAUAAACUUUAUGAGGAAGAAUGAUUUAUUUCACCCCCAGUGAUGGUCAAAGCUAAUGGAAAGCAUGGUGAAUGUUUGAACUUUGUCACAUCCUUGUGGCCAAGCUGAGCACUGAGGCUCCUGCAGGCAAGAAAGCACAUAGCCUCAAUUUGGGCACCUACUGAGUGGAGUGACACCUCUUCCAAAACAGCCUCCAGAAUUUGGUGAUGCCAUUUGAUGUCCUGCAGAACCUCUGUGUUACCCAUGACCACGGGUGGGCAGAAAGCAGAGACAUCUCCAUUUAUUCUGCUUCUGAGAAAAUGAAGUUCCAUCUGAAGACGCCCUAAUACUACAGCUUCACCUUGCAAAAGGUCAUGAGAAAUUUACUGAAAUGCUAAAAAGCCAGCAGCAGAUCAUUGUAGAUUUACAGCAGAAACUUGCUGAACAGCAACAUGUAUUGGUUAGCCAGCAACGGGAGAUUCUUGAACAGCAAAGAAAAAUGUAUGAGCAAAUGGAUCUGAUCAAAGUGCAGUAUGGCUUGCUUUUUGACACAGUGAAACAAAUGUCAUUUCAGAGUUUGCAAGAAGAUAUUCAAAAUUAUUUUGAAAGUCAUCUUCAAGGACUUCAGAACCAGGUCAGGAAUCAUCUCCAGAAGUCAUACUCUGUACAUAAAGUAGAAGUGGAUGCAAAAGUGAUAAAUGUAGGGGAGUCUUUGCUGGACUGUGGUCUUUGUGAAAGUGAUGAAUUUUGCAAUUUCCAAAAGACACCUUCACAAUGUGAAAAAUGCACAUUGUGUCCUGCUGGUUUUUUCCAAAUGGCUGAUUGCUCUGCAAACUCUGAUCGGAUUUGCCAGGACAGAGAUGAAUGCACUGAAUCUCCAAGCAUUUGUGGCGAGAGAAUAAAAUGCCUGAAUACUCCAGGUGGCUUCCGAUGCCUUGGAAUUGCUGAGAAAGAUGCAGCUCUGGGAUUGUGUGGAGAAGAGUAUUUCUUUAAUAAGGAAAUGCAAGAAUGCCAAGCGUGUUUGAAAUGUGAAGAUGGAAUGGUGGCCAUGCCUUGUUCCACUGUUAGUGACACGGUUUGUUCAGCAACCAGUGAAAGCAAGCUAUCAGAAUCUUGGGCUGCAAACAUCAUUUUACCAUCUGUGAAGUCUGGCAUCUCUCAGGUCUACUCUGGCUUGAACUUGAAGAUAAGGGAAAAGCUCCACUGUGACAUCCUGUCCAUUGAAGAUCACAGCCUGAUAUUCAAGCAGCAUGGUCUUUUGUGGACUGACCUAAAUUUUGCAGUAAAACACAACUGCAGGAAUUUUUUGCAACUUUCCUUGAAGCUAAAUGGUAGUGAAGAAGGCUAUGAACUGAGUGGUGUUCGCAUUGAACAGCCAGAAGGAAAAUAUUUCCAGAGCACCAGUUUAAGCAGCGCUGCUGAGGUGGAGCCCAGCCAAACUCUUUCCGUGUUUUUGAGGAGCCCAAACCAAUUCUGCAAUCAGAGUAAAGACUUACAUAUUUAUGAUCUUAAUAGCCCACUAAGUCUGUUCUGGUUGUCUCAUGACACGGGUGCUGUGGCAAUCAGUGCACACAUGUCAACAGCAAUGCAUUACCAAACCAACUAUCGACCUACAUUUAAAAUAGUUUCUGUUUCCGACCCUUACAUGCUAAGUUUAUCUCAUGAUGGCAGAGCUAUAAAAUUCACUGAAACAGGUGUUGUCAAAUUUGUGUUGCACCAAGCAUUGUAUUCUAUGGGUCACACUUGUGUCCGGGAGGGUUUCUCCUUAAUUUCUUAUAUAAAUAGGAAUGGUACCAACAGAGAAUUAAUGAAUGUAUUUAAAUCUGGGGUAAAUUACAGAGAUACAUCAAUAUCUGCUUCUGGUGCCACAAAAGUUGCUGCUGGAGAUCUGAUUAGCUUUGAGAUACUCUCUCCUGCACAAUGUAAUGUUCGUUAUUUCGGAGAUAGUUCUGGGAUUAGUAUGUUUAGCCUUAUCUGGAUACCUUCAGCAGUUUCUAGUGCCAUAUCAGCCACAGUUUCUGUUACAGGACUGCCUACUGGAGCUGUGAGAAACAAAUUACUGGAUUUCACCCAGAUCUCAUCCAAUGAGAAACAGAUACAGCUGGUUUCUUCUGGACAGCUUGCUCAGAAGUACUUCAUUUUUACGGAAAAGGGAGUUGCCAGUCUUGCAUUUAACUUAAAGCUAAUCCAUUCAUGCAGUGUGCUCAAAGUGACUCUCAACCAGUUGACCAUGGAUCACAUGCAACCCACCAUAAUUGCUCAGCAGAUUGGAGGACAGAUGCCAGAGGGAAGCAUAUGGACCAGUGUGACCCUCCGUGCAUCUUUUGAAGUACAUAAUGGAACGCUGAUAUCAGUUUCUCUUGACUGUGUACGUGGAAGGAUCAAUCAGAUCACUCAUGAACAUGGAACCAGUAUAUCUAUUUUAUGGAUUUCAUCUUAAUUUCUGUACAGUGAAAAUAGCACAGAACUGGGGUUUAAAUUGGAUUUGGAUUCUACUCUGAUUCUUUGUCUGUAUUUGACACCUUACAGUGUGUCAAUGUGAACAUAUUGUCCCACUAAAGUGCUCUCAAAUUUAGGAAUAUUUAAAUAUAAUCUUAAUUAAAUGAUCAGUAUUUAAAGAAAGAGAGCUUUCAGAAUUCCAAGAUAAGAUAGUACUUCUGUUAACAUAAUCAGGCAAGGGAUCUAUGGAUUCAACUCAAAACUAUUUUUUUAAAAUGCAGUCUCUUGAAAUUAAUUAUUUCUGGACCACAGAAAAUUGCAGGUGAGAGUAAAAACAUAUCUUUUGGUACUGGAACUGAAAGCAGUGCAGCCAAGUAAUGGAAGUCUGCUUUCACUUUCUUCUGCCAACAAGACUAAAUGCACUCGGAGGCAAAUUUGUUUACAUCUUAUAAAAUGUUGUGCUCAAUCUUUAAGUGCCUUAAGCAUGCCUCAAAGUAGAAAUGGUAAUACGGUAACAUUGAAUUAUACUUGCACAAUAUCGUAAAAAUGGACCUCAGUCAAAAAUAGAACAUUGUUUUUACAAAACAUAAUGACUGUUCUCAUCAUGAACGUUGUAACUAAUGAUCUUUCUAAUUUAAUUUUGAAAUAAUCUGCUUUUAAGUAAUUUGGGAAGACUUGUUCCCAUUUUAAGUUGUGGCGAGUGAAUGGUUGCAUGAUGAGAAGGAAGGAAGUAUUAGAAACAUGUCUUGAAAGUCAAGCUUUAAAAGGAAACAGACUUUUAUUCAGUUUCUUACCAAUUGUGUGUUCUUUUUAUGACCAAAAGGGGACACCUUUCACAAGCAUGCUUAUUUUGCUGAACUGGUGCUUAAUUUUAGAAGUUCUUUUUUAGUUAAAUCACUCAAUUAAUUCUAAAAUGAAAUUAUGUAUUCAAUGACACUGAUUAUUGUCUUCUUCCAACUCUUCUGUCAAACUGCUCUUUCUGAUCUGUGUUUCUCUCCUUUCUUCUCCUGAAGCAUCACUACUGCUUCACUCUGUUCUUAUUUUGUUAGGAACAAACAGCAUUCUCUGUCAUGUAGCUCGACUCCUUCCACCUAUCCUUCACCAGCCCUACUAAAGAACAGGUGUGUAUGUGUGUCACAUAUAUAAGAGGAACUUUAAUAAGACAGCUGCAAACUGCCUACCAUCAACCUAUUUGAAAGUGAGACUACUAUGCAUGAUAUGACUUUACUGUGGGUGUCUGUCUGAGCACAUGUAUCCUAAAUGCAUGCACUUUUCUGUGCUCUUCACCUGUUCUGUUUUUUGUUUGUUUGUUUUGGUUUGGUUUGUUUUUUUUUUGUAAAAGCGUGAACACAAAUGCAGGAGUUCCAUCUGGUGCUUCCAUUUUUACUUGUAAUUUUCUAAUCAUGUCAUUAUCACUUGUGGUUACCUUUCCCUCAUCCUUUCUUCAGGUUUGAACUCAGAGAUACGCAGACUUUGGACAAAUUGUUCUCCUGCACCAAGCAGAAUGCUAGUAUUUCUUGUUUCAGCUCUUAAGUAAGUCUGAGCAACCCAUUGCAAUAUACCUCACUGGAUGCUGUGUUGAGGCCAACACAACCACAGUAAGUUCAGUCCUGGCAUCAUAUCUUCUCUAACAAACUCACCUCUACAAAGAGGUGGUUUUGUGAGGAGAGUGUCAAAGGCCUUCUUUCCCUCAGAAGCAGACAGCUCACUGCUGUAUCAGGAUGUCUGUGCUGCAAGAGAAGCUCUGCAGAGAGCAGACCUGGGUAUUUCUGCAGUGAAACUGCAGGGAAGUCAAUGUUGGAGAAGGCUUGAGAUAGGAUUCUUAUGUUUUCACUUGACGGAAAGUCAAGAAAAUAAUUUUCUCAUGGACAUAACCCCUUAUUUUUCUUGUCUGCUUUACUGUAUGCAGUUGUUUUAGAGGCUGUCAGCCCCAUUAAAAUGAUAGCUUAAGAGUAAUUCUGGAUUUAAACCUGUGUAGCAGAUAAUCAGAAUCUAAUGUAGGAUGUAAUCUAAUACAUCUUCAGCAAAGUGCAGAUGUUACUUGAAUAAAAUAAGCAUUUGCCUUUAUGUAGCAUAUAGCACAUCUAACAGAAUGAUUUGUAUGUGUAUAUUUUACGUAAGUGAGUUUGUAAUACCGGUGGAAUUGCUUGAAUAUGGAGAAGACUAAUGCUUAAAUCCUGUACUGUGCACACAGUGAUGGCACUUCCAUUUAAAUGUGCCAUUAUUAAAGGAUGCAGAAGCUACCAGGGAGCUACAAGUGAGCAUUAUUACAGCUAAGGGAAAUUUCAGAGUGUGAAAUUGUAAAUACAGUAUAUCUUUUCUGAAGAUUCUUGGGGGAGUGCCCAUAAUUGCCCUCAAGUUAAGAGUAGAUUUUUAGAUACAUAGGGCAGAAAUGUGGUAUUUUGCAGCCGUCUGGUAAUGGUAAUGAUGGUAAUGUAUUUCACAUGGUUUUGCUAUUGUCAUCUGUGAUAUUCAUAUGAUGAACAGCAACAAAAAUUCUUCUAAAUACAAACUAUUAACUGCAACUUGCAGCAAGCUUAGCCCUACUUCAGUCAAGAAAUUUGAGCCUGUUUUCAUCACUAUCUUUAAAAAAAAUACAGCCUAAAUUAAGAGUUCAGCCCACUUAGUUACAGGAAUGUGAAUUUGGAGUAAGUGUGUUGGAGUCAGCUUGGAUUUAUGGUAGUAUAACUAACAGCGUAGCAUAUAGCCUUUGCCUCUAUGAAAAUGAUAUAUAUUACCUCAUUCCGUGCAACAUUAAGUGGUGCACUGCAGUCCUACAUAAGAUAAAGUUCAAAAGCAAUCAAACAAUGUACGAUGAAUACUAAUUUUAUGGCACUUAUCCCAUUUGCUGUAAUUAAUUGCAUGCUUUAUUCUUGACAGAUAUACCCUAUCAAUUAUAUUUACAACUUAGGAACUUUUUAUUUCAAGUUUUUAUAUGGUUUCUUUCUUUUAGUAGCAUAAUAUAAUGCUGUGAAGUACAGAAUUCAUUAAAAUGUUUUUUUCUUUUGCAUCUUUUGAUACCACGUUCAUGAAUACUCUUAAAAACCUGGGAGACUGUCUCCAAACCUUGUUUCUAAUGGGGACACUCAAAGUCUUGCAGAGUAAGUGCAAGUACAGAGGCUAGUGAAGUCUGUACAGAAAGCGUGGAAGUUAAUACAUCUAUGUAGAUCACUCCAAAAGUAAUGCCUCCUAUUUAUUUCCAUGGAAACUACAACUGAUACAAAGAGCACAGUAACACUGUUUGAUAGAACAAAUUCUAAGCUACAAAACAGGUAUCUUUAAACACUGUCACCACUAUUAGCCACAUGUUUUGCCAGUGAUGAACAAGAGCCUGCAUGCUGCGCUUGUCAAAAUCUGCACCAGUGGAGGUGACCCACUGUCACCACUGCUGAAACACACCACCCACCCCAUCACCAUGCCCACAUCCACUGCUAGGGCUCUGUAAAUGUUCAGCAAGUCAAUGAAUUUCAGUAGGUGCAAUUUGUUCCACAUGGAGGUGUACAACGACACACCUUUGUUUGAUCUGCACUUCCAUGUCAGACACCGUUCUGUCAGACUGCCCCUCUGCUGCUGUCUGUCAUGGCAAAAAAUAAUGGGAUGUUGGUGGGAAGGUUCAACCUCUACUGCCAUACCACCAACAUCCACCUCUGAGAGCAUGGGUCAAGAUAAUAAGAUAGGAAGCAUUACUUUCAAAGCAGCCUUCACAGAAAGGUGAAUGUUUUACUUAUGCAGACAAUGGGAAAUGUUGUGGAAAAUGUGACUAUUACAGGAGGAGAAUAAUUUAGGUUGUGUAGUGCUGCUCACAUAAGAGGAAAAAGGAUCUGCCUUACAAAAACCAGCAUCACUUAAUAUCAACCAUUUUGCAAUUUGAGAGAGUUUGCCUGGAUAUAUUUUAUUACCUGUACACUUUCGUGCUUUCUGAAGUCAAAACUGGGUAGAAUGCAUCAACUAUUUUAAUAUUUUGGAUCAUUCCCUUUGUUCUGUGGUCUGUGCAGAUGGCAGUACACUGUGAAAAUGACACUAGUUUCAAGUGGUGCUUUUUAAUAAAAUUUCCUACUUUGAAAUAGUACCUUGUGUUUAAAAAUACCAUUUAGACACUUCUGUUAAUAUUAUAUUGUAAUACGUUUUAAGAGAACUUUGCUGAAAUAAAUACAACAAAAAAGCUCUAUUGAUGCCAUUGCAGAUUUUACCACUGCCUCUUUUGGAGACAGAUUCCCAUGUUACCUGAGUUAAUGACCUGUGCUUGUUGAAGUAAAGUUAAACAAGAAAGUGAAAGUGAGGGGAAAUGGAGAUAGAGGGCAUGAAAAAUGGGAGAAAGAAGAAACAAACUCUGGUGUUUGAUUGAAUACAGAAGACUUCAAACUGGAUUUCUUUAGAACAGUCUGAAAGAAAUGCUUGCUUUCUCAACCAGUUGUAGUUGAAAAUGUGUUCAGCUGAAAACUGAUUCAAUCACGUGGCUUCAUUUCUGUCUCUUUGACAAAGGACUUACCACCUACAAACUUCUGUAAACCUCAGUAACAUUAGAGUAUGCUGAAUACACUCGUGUGUUCUGCUGAGCUAGCACAUUAAGUAGUAUGAUUGGGUAAUAACACAACUUGUAUUAUGAAACCUCUGGAAAUACUUAUGGGCUUUGGCAUGAAAGCUCAUCAUUACCUUUUAAGUAUGUUUGUAACGGGAAGCACUUCUCAUUAGAUAAAUGAGCCUUUCUUGAGCUUCACAUUAUUAUCCCUCAACUGCUAAUGGUACCUAAUGUUGCUCAUUUAAGUCUCCUUUAAGUAUUUGUCUGUUAUACUGCAGCCAGUAACACAGACGUACUAAGUAGCUUCAGGACCUCUGUACAUGUGGGAUGUCAACAGAACAUUUUACUGAGUUUUCAUUGUUUUAUAUCAUAGAUUGAAUUGGUUCAGGAGUCCAUGUGAUAGAUGUGGGCUUUCAGUGCAAAUGUGACCCGGUGAGUGAUUUAGACUGGCUUUCACAUCUGAGUUGCAUGACUGCAGCCUUCUCUUGCUGAGAAUAAAAGAAUUCUGAGACCAUCCAUAGAUUAAAUACAGGUGUCUUCAGUAAAGAGCUGGAGAUGCUUUGCAUCAAACUGAAAUAAAAGCCGCUCACUCUACUCAGAAGGUCAGAAAAGUAAGAAGAUUUAGUAUAUAUUGUGAAAUACUGUUUGUUGAAGGAGAAGUACAUUUGUUGGUUUUAUUAGUGGAGGAGAAUAAAAGCG